GAACCGCGGCCGGAGCCCGAGCUGGAGCUCGAGCUCGAGCCCGAGCCGCCGCAGCCGCGGAGCAUGGGCGCCGGCGCUGUACGAUGAAGCACCCAGCGAGUCCGGGGGGCUAAAGCCGUGAGGUCCAGCAGGUUGUGCUGGGUGCCCAGAAAUAUGAGAGGUUCACACUCUUCACACUCACAACAGGAUUAUGUGAGCUAUUACUCUGGUGUUUUUCCUCAGAAAGUUUUUUUUGGGGUACUGGGGAUUGAACUCAGGACCUUGUGCUUGGGAGGCAAGUGGCAGAACCACUGAGCCAAAUCCCCAGCCCCCUCAAAGUUUUUGACCCAGUUUAGUAGAAAUCUUGCGCAUUAGAGUCAGCUCUGAGAAACUUUGGUUUCUUGAAGUAAUCUAGAGGAUAAAGUUCUGCCAUACUUCAAAUGAUGUUAGCUUCUUUUGGACACAAAUCCCUUAGGGACUGUGAACACUAUGAAUUCCCUCCCCGUAAACAUAGAACAUGUGUGUAGAACAAAUUUUGCAUGCAUGGAGAUAUUAAAAGCCCUUGGCUUAAAAUAAUGAGAUGCAAGGUUUUGAAGAAGAGAAAGUUCGAAAGGGAGUUUGCUGCUGGUGCAGAGUCCAGUUUUUGUUGGAGGGCUGAGGCAGGCCUUAGUUUGAGAAAGGUGCCUUGUGGCUUGUUGGUCAGAUUUAGCAGGGCAGGAACCUGCCAGGCAGGCCUCAUUUUGAAGGGUUAUACAGUCCAACAAAGUGCUUCCAAAAAGUGCAACUCCCACUCUCCUCAGGUGUGGGUAUCCACACUUUCCUGUAAGGAUCUUUUUGAAGAACUUAUUUUUGUUUGCAGACAGUACUAUCUGGAUUUAUUUCCCAGUACAGCCUUUGACCUUGUGGGUGCUUUAGAGCCUGAUGUUAAUUUGUUAGGUAAUUUUUUUUUGUUAGUUAUGGAAGAGGGAUUGUAUGCUUGUGUCAUACAUAACAUGAUUUCAGAAUAAAAUGCAUGUUUUUGUGAAAGUAUAUUGUGAAAACCACAUAUAUUAGAUUUGUGUCCUGCUUUGUAGUCUUGUGCUGUACUUUCCCAUGGGCCUCCUGUGGUCUGGGAGCAGAGUGAUUGUGGCACAAAGCCAGGCCUGGAGCCACAGAUCUGGGGCCCAGAGACCUUGUGGCAGCAGCUCUUUGAUUUAGAGGGUAUCCUAUGGAGGAGGCUUUAUUUAUCUGGUAAAGAUCUAAGUGACUACCACCCAGGACUAUUCCACCCUUUUCCACAAGGGUUCUUUUCCUGAAGGAUCCUUUUCCUCUUCUCCUCUGCUCUCCUGUUACAAUAUUACAUCCAAAAUACUAGCCACAGAUUGUGCCAAGAUAAACAUUCCUCACCUGAGGUGGUUCUUGUUCAAAGGACCAUAUGAGUACAAAUAGGGGCCAUGGCACUGUGUGGAGGAGACCCCACAGUGAAAAGGACAGCCCUGGAACUUGCAACUGUUCCUGCUGAUGGUGCUACAACAUCACAGGCUCCUGCAGAAGCUACAAUAAAGAGUUAAUAAAAUGGCACAUUACCUAGUGUUUCUAUUACUGAGAAACUUUGACUUUUAUGUUAGUUUUUUAGUGAAAAGCAUUUAUUUAAAUCAGAAAAUUCUAUAUAUUCCAUUAAAAAUAUUUUAGUGUAAUCUCAUCUGUCAAUCUUCAUAACAAAGUCUAUAUUCAGAGUUACUUUUGAACAUUUCUAAAAUACAUCAAUUUCAAAUCACAUCUCUUGAGGAUAAUUUGAAAAAGUAGAAACCAAGAACUGGGCCGGGGAUUUAGCUCAGUGCUUCCACCACCUGCCUCGCAAGCACAAGGACCAGAGUUCAAUCCCUAGCACCCCCCUCCUCCCAAAAAAGAAACCAAGAACUGAGAAUAAAACAUAUGGAUAAGCUGAAUGGUGAUUAGGAGUCUCCAUAGCUAUACAGUUUAGAAAGAUAAAGAGAGAUAAAGAACAUUUAUGCCUUAGAAUCACACCCUUAAAUCAAUCAGGAAAGAAAGGAGAUGGGACAGGUUUCAAAAGAUUUGACGGGCUAAGGUUGGGCUAAAUGAGGAGUAGGUGAAAGUCCCCAUCCACCAAAAUGUAAUCAAUAAAAUUUGUUCAAAGUCUUUUCACAUUCAGGUAUCUGAAAGACUACAUUUAUGGGACACAGAUGGGGACAGGAGCUAAUACAGACCACAAAUAGAAAAGAGAACACUAUAACCAAGGGAAACAUAAAAUGUUGUAGCUUCACUCGCUUUUUCAAUUAUUUAUAGUGCCGGAGACUGAACCCAGGGCCUUCGUACUGAGUCCCAUUUUUAUUUUAAGACAGUCUCCCUAAAUCAUUAAGUUGCCCAAGCUGGGCUCAAACUUUUGA
ensembl:lncRNA